CUAUGCGCCUUGCCAGCCCGCUCAGGUGUGCCAGCCGCCGCGGUAAUACGGAGGAUGCGAGCGUUAUCCGGAUUUAUUGGGUUUAAAGGGCGCGUAGGUGGUUAAUUAAGUCAGCGGUGAAAGUUUGUGGCUCAACCAUAAAAUUGCCGUUGAAACUGGUUGACUUGAGUAUAUUUGAGGUAGGCGGAAUGCGUGGUGUAGCGGUGAAAUGCAUAGAUAUCACGCAGAACUCCGAUUGCGAAGGCAGCUUACUAAACUAUAACUGACACUGAAGCACGAAAGCGUGGGAUCAAACAGG
rnacentral:rRNA from 1 species